AAGUCGUUCCUCUCAGACAUAACGCCGAAUCCAUUUUUCCAUCUCUCCUCCUUCUCAGCCACUGAUUUACAUCACCACCAUCAAUCUAUACAAUCGGUAGAUCUGAAGUGUUUCGAGUUCAUGUGCGAGAGCUCUUAUGAGUUCAAAGGCUUCAAACAUGUUCGAUUUAUUUGUUUUCGGGUUUGUUAACCAAUUAUCUAAUGUUUGCGAUUUUACUUGGUUUGAUUUAUGAGUAUUUUUCAUUAAAAAUCUUUAUAACAUGUAUGAUUUACUAACAUGUGCGAAAAUCUACAGCAAAUCAUUCCAAGAAUAUUGAACGAACCACCAUGGGUAUUGGUUCUUGGUGCUGUAAACUCUUAACAGAUCUGGAAGGGAAAAUAUCAUGUUUGAAAAGAACCAAGGUUGUUGUUAUUUAGUUAUAAGUAUUAGAGUUUAUUUAACCUAUAUAUUGUAAGUUUCUUAGCUUUCUAUAUGUUAUAAAUCUCCUUGUAAAGCAUAGAUAUGUGGAGAUUUGUGAAGGAAAGAAAGAAAACCAUGUGUAUGAAGAGUUUGUAAUCAUUUUUUCCUCUUAAUAUUUGAAAUAAACUGAAGGAAUGUGAGAAAACCAUGUAUUAUGUAUAUGAAGAGUUUGUCCUUGAAAUCGAAGUUAUGUUUUUGGAAAAUGAUUUUUGCGACAAAACUGCAAAUUUA